rnacentral:tRNA from 1 species
GCCCCGGUCGUAUAGCCAGGUCAAGUAUCUCGGCCUUUCGAGCCGAUGAUCCCGGGUUCAAAUCCCGGCCGGGGCA